rnacentral:rRNA from 1 species
UCGGAACGUGUCCUGUUGUGGGGGAUAACUGAUCGAAAGAUCAGCUAAUACCGCAUGAGACCUGAGGGUGAAAGCGGGGGAUCGCAAGACCUCGCGCGACAGGAGCGGCCGAUGUCUGAUUAGCUAGUUGGUGAGAUAAAAGCUUACCAAGGCGACGAUCAGUAGCUGGUCUGAGAGGAUGAUCAGCCACAUUGGGACUGAGACACGGCCCAGACUCCUACGGGAGGCAGCAUG